ACAGAGGUCCCAAGCGUUGUUCGGAUUCACUGGGCGUAAAGGGUGCGUAGGUGGUGAGGUAAGUCGGAUGUGAAAGCUCGGAGCUCAACUCCGAAAUGGCAUUGGAAACUACCUUGCUCGAGGGUUGGAGGGGGGACUGGAAUGCUUGGUGUAGCAGUGAAAUGCGUAGAUAUCAAGCGGAACACCAGUGGCGAAGGCGAGUCCCUGGACAACUCCUGACACUGAGGCACGAAAGCUAGGGGAGCAAACAGGA
rnacentral:rRNA from 1 species